rnacentral:rRNA from 1 species
AGAACGAACGCUGGCGGCAGGCUUAACACAUGCAAGUCGAACGCUCGUAGCAAUACGGGAGUGGCAGACGGGUGAGUAACGCGUGGGAACAUACCCUCCGGUUCGGAAUAGCUCAGGGAAACUUGGAUUAAUACCGGAUACGGCCGAGAGGCGAAAGAUUUAUCGCCGGAGGAUUGGCCCGCGUUCGAUUAGCUAGUUGGUGAGGUAACGGCUCACCAAGGCGAUGAUCGAUAGCUGGUCUGAGAGGAUGAUCAGCCACAUUGGGACUGAGACACGGCCCAAACUCCUACGGGAGGCAGCAGUGGGAAUAUUGGACAAUGGGCGCAAGCCUGAUCCAGCCAUGCCGCGUGAGUGAUGACGGCCUUAGGGUUGUAAAGCCCUUUCGGGCGGGGAAGAUAAUGACGGUACCCGCAGAAGAACGGCCCCGGCUAACUUCGUGCCAGCAGCCGC